AGGAAUUUAGGUUAACAUCCCAGACCAAGAGCCUUCAAAGCUCUAANCAANUGA
rnacentral:tRNA from 1 species